AAUAGCCCCGUGGUGUAGAGCACAUUAGGUUGCAAACCUUAAAGCGCAGGCUAACCGCCCGCCGGGGCUU
rnacentral:tRNA from 1 species